rnacentral:rRNA from 1 species
UACCAGCACCCCGAGUGGUCGGGACGAUUAUUGGGCCUAAAGCAUCCGUAGCCGGUUUUACAAGUCCCCCGUUAAAUCCAGCUGCUUAACAGAUGGGCUGCGGAAGAUACUAUGGAGCUAGGAGGCGGGAGAGGCAAGCGGUACUCGAUGGGUAGGGGUAAAAUCCGUUGAUCCAUUGAAGACCACCAGUGGCGAAGGCGGCUUGCCAGAACGCGCCCGACGGUGAGGGAUGAAAGCUGGGGGAGCAAACCGG